CAAGGAUUCCCCUAGUAGCGGCGAGCGAAGCGGGAAGAGCUCAAAUUUAUAAUCUGGCACCUUCGGUGUCCGAGUUGUAAUCUCUAGAAAUGUUUUCCGCGUUGGACCGCACACAAGUCUGUUGGAAUACAGCGGCAUAGUGGUGAGACCCCCGUAUAUGGUGCGGACGCCCAGCGCUUUGUGAUACAUUUUCGAAGAGUCGAGUUGUUUGGGAAUGCAGCUCAAAUUGGGUGGUAAAUUCCAUCUAAAGCUAAAUAUUGGCGAGAGACCGAUAGCGAACAAGUACCGUGAGGGAAAGAUGAAAAGCACUUUGGAAAGAGAGUUAACAGUACGUGAAAUUGUUGGAAGGGAAACGCUUGAAGUCAGACUUGCUUGCCGAGCAAUCGGUUUGCAGGCCAGCAUCAGUUUUCCGGGAUGGAUAAUGGUAGAGAGAAGGUAGCAGUUUCGGCUGUGUUAUAGCUCUCUGCUGGAUACAUCUUGGGGGACUGAGGAACGCAGUGUGCCUUUUGGCGGGGGUUUCGACCUCUUCACACUUAGGAUGCUGGUGGAAUGGCUUUAAACGACCCGUCU
rnacentral:rRNA from 1 species